GAGAUUUUAGUUAAUAAAUAACAUCAUUUUGUCAAAAUGAAAUUAUCAAUAUUUGAUAAACCUCU
rnacentral:tRNA from 1 species